CAGUGAGAGGAAUGAUGUAUUAUUACCGAGCUCUUAACAUGCUGGCUUUUUUGGAUUCAGCUUCUGAGGUGGACAUAAAGG
rfam:Ipomoea nil DNA, scaffold: scaffold2704, cultivar: Tokyo-kokei standard.